rnacentral:rRNA from 1 species
GUCCAUGCCUUAAACGAUGAAUACUAGACGUUGGGGUCAAACUCAGUGUCGCAGCUAACGCAUUAAGUAUUCCACCUGGGGAGUACGAUCGCAAGGUUGAAACUCAAAGGAAUUGACGGGGGCCCCGCACAAGCAGUGGAGCAUGUGGUUCAAUUCGAUGCAACGCGAAGAACCUUACCUGGGCUUGACAUGUAAGCUAAGGCUGAUGAAAGUCAGCGUCCCGCAAGGGGAGCUUACACAGGUGCUGCAUGGCUGUCGU